rnacentral:tRNA from 1 species
GCUUUCGUGGUGUAAAUGGAAGCAUGUCCAACUAGCAGUCGAGAGGUCUGUGGUUCGAAUCCCAGCGAUGGCA